GGCUGUAAUGGUCCAACGGUAGAAGACUCUCACUCAUCUCAACCCGAAUCCAUUUCCACGCCAAAUCCGUCAGAUCCCCCCCAGCGGCGCCCAGCCCGAACGCCGCGGUGGCCGCCCACUCGCUCGGGUAACCAGCGACUUUGUGGUGGCUUGGCCUUAAGAAGUUGAUGAUGAUGCUUCAGGGAGGUCUCACUCUGCAGAGACAUCAUCCCCGUCGCGUGGCGGUGCUGGAUUACGAGCGCGGGGGGUUUGGGGUGGCGGGUCGAGAUGGAGAUGUCAACUUCCUUU
rnacentral:SRP_RNA from 1 species